GUGUAGAGUCGUCAGUCAUUGGAAGCGAUCGAGACAGUCGUGAGGGGUUUGUUGGAGCGCUUCAGUCCUACUCCGGCAAGAUGUGCUACGAGGAUCGGGAGCGGUAACACCACGAUACAAGUCCAUAUCCGUCUAGAUGCACGUCGGUGAUGAAAGGGAAUAAUCAAAGUUGAAACUUCAUUGUUUGACCUCAUUAUAUAUAUACGGAGCGCGAUUAAAGAGACACACGCGAUAAGCUAGGCAUCUACACCGCUACUUCCACCACUGCCGCUUGCCGCCACUGCGGUGACGCUGCCACUUGGGGUACCUGACGUUCCACGAGGGCUGGUAGGGGCCGUAUACGUGAGGGUUGUUCACGUACCUCCUGACGGUCCCGUCGUAGCCGCCGUGGAGCCACCCGCUCACGCAAAGGCUGCCUACGGUCACGUGCAUGACGCCAUAGGGUGGAUCACCAGCAGCCUUGACUUGCCUCUCGUCCGUAUGCGACGACGUACGAAGAAAAAGGACUACUUAUUACUAUACAACUACUGCAAACCAGCUCAUCCUAUGACUGGAGGAAGUGACAGUGAGGGUUUAUUACGAGGACAAAGAAACUGUGAACACGAAGCCACGUGGGAACAUUUGUAUUCCUGCCGACUCUAAUGUACUAUUGGUUUCUCGGCUGCACUUAACUACACUAAUAUAUGGAAACAUCGCUAAAAGAGGAAAGAAGGAAAGAAAAAAACAAACAAGUUUGUCAAAACAAGCCAAAAAUAAAAAUAAAAAGAAAUAACAAAAGAAUAAAAGACAAGGAAAAAACAAAAGGAAAAAAGAAAACGUUACACGUUUGAAAAGUUAAAACGGAAAAGAUGUUUAGUUAUUCGAAAAUUUUUUUUAACACUUGUAAAAAAGUUUUAACCACUUGAAAAAUUUUUAAGCACUUGUAGAAAAAUUAUAGCUACUUGUAAGAAAUUUUGACUACUCGGAAAAGAUUUGACUUACUUAAAAAAGUUUCAACCACUUGAAACAAAAAGUUUUAGUUAUUUGAAAAAGGUUUAGGAAUUUGUAAAAAAGGUUGUAGGCACUAAAAAAAAGAUAAGUACCAUAAAAAGUAAAACACUUGUAAAACGUUUAGGUGCUUGUAGAAAAGUUUAGGUACUUGAAAAGGUUUUUCUACUUGGCGAACAACUUUAAGUAACCAAUUACCAGUUGAACAGCAGGUCCUGUUGGUACUUCUUCAUAAAAACCAACUUGGUGCUUCUUCUCUAGUCCGCGUAAGAGGAGUGUUCGCUGCCGACUAGCGAGCACAUCAAACCGGCCGGGGUACUUUCCACCACACGCUCACGACGCAGGUGAUUGAUCGCGUCGUUCGCGACUGAUCCUCGAGGGUGAUAUGUCCUUCAUCGCAGUGUGUUUGACCGUGUGUGUGGAGAGGCAGGAGCCGAACCGGGUAAAUAAAGAAAAGGAAAAAAUUGGAAGUUUUUUAUCCACGUACUUAAUCUUACGAUUGAUAACUGGAGAACCUAAUGAAGGGCUUGGAAAAGUUAAACAUCUAACUAAUUCCACCUCGAAUUACAAGAACAAAAGUUAAAAAAAAGUGUUUAACUUCCACAAACAUAAAGUUUUUUUUUUUAUCUAUUAACAAAACUUUUCAUGCACCAAACGGACAGAUGGAUCAUCCACCUGUAAGGGAUCUAAACAACUAACUAGCACCAACUCGAAGAGUGGAAUUGUCAUUAAAGAGGGAGCCGCAUAAAGAACUUCCCGGCGGCAUCUAGAUAAGGCGGAUCCACGGUCCUACGAAACCUUUCUAAAAACAUGGGUUGAUGAACGGAUAGAGCCGGAGCUCCUCCCGCCAGCCCGAAGAGCCGGGUGAGCGUGGAUCUAUCGUGCGACAGGAACCGGAGGAGCAGAUCGAGACCUUCGUUCAACUUGACUAAUCGGGGUUGGAAAGAUUCUAACAGUAGUUCAAGGACGAGUCGGGACUCCGCGAGCUGGAUAGGAAGUAAUUCACGUAAGACAAGCCUAAAUUCGGUGACCCUGAAAAAGAACUACGAAAACAGGCACAACCGGUUAGCAGACACCUUAUAACGCUCGUCUCCAUGGAGUUCCCCAAGGAACUUCUCUAGAAUAAGUAGACCGGGCUCCGAAGAUAGAAGGAGCCUGAGACCGUACAUCAACGAUAGGAGUCCCAGUAGAAGCAGGGCAACUAGUAUAGUAGCAGCAACAACAGUAACGGUCGCAAGACCAACAACCUCAGCAGGACUCGCCGUGAUAACAGCCCUCAUAGAAGUUAACCGGUCUAUUCCAGUACCUUUUUUUUUAACCCACGUAAGUUCCUACAGCUCUUUGUUGUACGAGCAUCUAGCCCGGAGGAUCGGAUGGGUUUGUGGGAGACAAGUUUUACCAGAUAAAAACAUGUAUGAACUUUACUGGUGUUUAAAAAGUACGUCCACCCGUACGGGUACCACUCGUAUCUACGGUCCAAACUAACUAAAGGCUGUGGUAUACGUUCAACGCUGUGCAGGCUGGGUAAAUAGUGAGAGAAAAAAUAGGCCCUUUUGAGCUGUUUUACACUUUAAACAUCGUUUUUGUUGAACCGUACCGCCGAACUUAACCAGUAUGUUCCAGUACUAUUUUUUUACCUUGGUAAAAUUCUAACCGCUCUUUGCCGCACGAGAAUCUGCCUCAGAGCACCGGAUGAAUCUGUGAGAGGUGACUUGUACCGGAUGAAAAUCGGUAAAAAAUUUACUGAGGUUGAAAACGUUCCUCCAACCGUACGGGUAGCAUCCGUAGGUACGGUCCAAACUUGUUAAAGGUUGUAGCAUACGUUCAACACUGUACGUGUCGGUAAAUAGCCGGAAAGAACUGUUUCACUUGAGGUAUUUUACAUUUUUAAAUAGCUUUUGUUUUUGUUGAACCGUACCACAGAUUUUAAUCAAUAUGUUUCGGUACGUUUUUGAAUCCCGAAUUUCUUAUACCUUUCUGUUGUACGAGAGUGUGACUCACAAUACCGGAACACCGGGUGGACUUAUGGGAAGUAACUUGUACCAGAUGAAAACGUGUAAAAAAUCUACUGGGGUUGAAAAGUUCGUGCACCCGUACUGGUACCAUCCUUAGGUACAGUCCAAACUUAUGAAAAGCUGCGUUAUACGUAGAUCUGUAAAAUAGCUAGAAAAAACUGGUUCCUUUGACGUCUUUUGCGUUUUAAACAGAUCUUGGCUUGUUGAACCGUACCACCGAAGUUAAUCAGUAUAUUCCAGUACAUUUUUAUAUCACAGGUAAAUUUCUUACAGCUCUUUGUUGCACGACAGUGUGUUUCGGAGGACUGGAUAGGCUUGUGGUAGACAAGUUGUAACAGAUAAAAACCUGUAAGAAUUUGCCUGGGGUUGAAAACGUUCGUCCGCCCGUACGGGUACCAUCCGUAAUAUGAUCUAAACUUGCUAAAGCCUGUGGCAUACGUUCAACGCUGUGCAGAUCGGUAAAUAGUGGAAAAAACUGGCCCUUUUGAGGUCUUUUUCGCUUUAAACAUCUUUUGGUUUUGUGUAACAAGGAACUUAACCCGUAUGUUCGUUUAUUUUUUUUACACUUGUAAACUCUCUACAACUCUUUGUUGUACGAGAGUUUGCCUCAGAAAAACGGAUGGGGCUGUGGGAUGUAACUUGUACCACAAAAAAGAUGUGUCUAUGUUUUUUACAAACCCCUUUAAGUCCUUUUUUUACAAGUUAAAAAGCAAACCUUAAGGUAUAAACAAUCACAGAAAUUCUUUUACAAAUACAAGUAUUAAAGCCAGUGAGAAAUUUUUCUCAAAGAGUAAAACUGUAAGGCUCGUUAAAACUUUCUGCGUUUGAAAAAUUACUUUAAAAACGUGUUAAAAAUUUCACACUUGUUAACAUAAAAUACUUGUUUUAAACUUUGUUACUAGUAAAAAGCUUUAAGACUUGUUCAAAAAUAUUCACGCUCGUAAAACAACUUUUUCUUGUUUUUUCCUUUUGGCUUUUGUACAGUUUCCUUGUUUUCUGUUUAUCAUUUGGCCAACGACCCACUAUAUAAAAGUAAAGAUAAAAAGUUCAAAUAAAAAUAAAAAUUAUCUUCAAGUCUUUAAAGUCUUUACAAGGGCAAGCUUCUUUGUAAAUGAUAACAGUUUUUCUUUUCUGUACGCUUUAAAUUUGUUUCCAAAUUAGAAAGCACUGAAUAUACAAGUAUAUUUCACACGACGUUAAUGCCGAUUGUUUAGUCUACGCGACGGCACCGAUGACAGCAAUGCGCGCGAGUGGGUAAAAUAAAUAACGCUUUAACCAAACGCCGAAAGAAAUCAGAGAUGAGGAUUACUUCGUCAACCAUCAGAGGUGGCCAGUUAAAAGCAGGGUGGUGAAAGCAGGCCAAAAAAAAGCAUCCAAUUGGAAAGAUCUAAAAAAAACCAAGGCAGGUGGCGGAGGGGAGGCGACCAAAAUGGCAGCGCUGUCUUGGUUAGGGAGCGAUCGGGAUGGAGCAGAGGGCAGAGGUCAAAGAAACGUACGUAACCCCUUCCCUUCCCUUCCCUUCCGUUCUCUUCCCUUCCCGCUCCCUCGCGGGUCUAGGUGCCGCCGCAGUCGCGCGGCAGCAGCUGGACUAGGCGCAGGCAGGAGCUCCCUCCAGCCGGUACCUCCAGGUUGGGGCGGGCCGUCGUCGGUACCUGCCUGCCUCUGCGGGUUUGGGAUGGGAGUUCCUGCUGCGGAGUUGGAAGUUCCUGCGCGCGGCCGCUGGCGCCUAGAGGCCACUGCCGAUACCACUCCCACAUAGACGCCUGCAAGAAGGAGCCUAAGUAGUAGAGGGGGACGAGCACUAAGGAAAGAACCAAAGAAAAGAAAACACACGUCCUACUGACGGGGCCUAGAUCUGCGUGUUGGACGUCGACGUCGUCGUCGACCUGCUGGCUUGCGUGCUCCUGCCUGCGCCUAAAAUUCACAUGCACUUGCGUUAAGAGGGCAGGGGACGGGAGGAGCGCUAGACGGCUGCAGGAGCGCGACGGCAGGAGAAGAGGGGCUAGAGGAGAUGGCACCGCGGGAGCGCUAGGAGAACUGCACAGGAACGCAGCGGAAGGAGAAGAGGGGCUAGAGGAGAUGGUCCCCCCGAGGAGACACUGGGUCCGCGACCGGCUGCAUGAGGAGGCGCCGGAGUGCGGGACGGCGGCUGCUCCUCUGUCGGACUCCUUCUAGGGAACCUUCUGUCCAAACCUGGUUGGGCACUAGGGGAACUAAGAAGAGAAUGAUGUCCGGCUAUACUUGUGUGCAGCAGGUGUCUAAUGUGUUCAGGAGCUUACGUACGUGUCUAAUGUGUUCAGGGGUUACGUACGUGUCUAAUGUGUGGUGUUUGAGACGAGAGAAGAGGAGGGAGAUCCAAACCCACGUUCCUAUCGGAUCCCCACCACCAAGAACCCCUUUAAAUUUCGAACCCGGAAAUACCUCAUCCUGGCUAGAUGUCGAAAUCCUCAUCGACGAAAUCUAACCACAAGUACAUGUCCAACGAUAAACUCUUAUAUGAUACAUGACCAGUUUAGAGUUUUGUUUACCGGGUAAGACUGGUAUUGAUGAGGUUUUCGUAUCUAUCCGAAAAAUUUGUAGUUCUAAAGACUUAUAACUAGAGUCGUCAUAGGUUUUAGGUUUACCGACACAAACAAGUCUAAAAGGAGUAAAAAUACAAGAAACUUAAUUUCAUCACGAACUCCAAUUAUUACUCACUAACAACCAUUGAAUCGAUCGAGGACUAUUAUUAAACACUAUAAAAAAUAAAAUAAAACUUGUUUCUUAUUAAACACUAUAUCGAACGAGGAUAUACACAGUAACUGUUGCAACGAACACCUCUCGUUAUUCCUAAAUAGAUCGAGUACAUACAGACUCGGACUCUGCCUCUCCUGCUGCCAGCACCGAGGUAACUACUACCACCAGCGCCGCGUAUCGGCAUGCUUACCUGUCGUCUGUUCGGUUCGUGAGGGACCUUUAGCGACACUAAGACCUUGUCCACCGCCCAGGGACGGGGAUGGCGGGUACUUCGACUGCUACUAGUACACCGGUAACACGUCGACGACGCCUCCCCCCGUCGCCCUCUGCACAUCCGCUCUUGGGCGUGCCGCCUCCUUCCUUUGCGGAGUCCACCUGUACUGCUGCUACCAGCACCGAGGUAGCGACCGCCGUCAGUCCUGUACGUCGACGUGCUGAUCUGUAGUCUGUCCAGUUCAGCAAAGCCCCUCAACAAACGAAACCACCACGAGAACCCAAAUGCUAAAGUUAUUUUAGGAUGCCGCCUUGCCUUCCAAUUACAAUAAAGAGACUAUAGUGUGUCAUAGAAGAACCGAGUUCAUAACUCUUUCAUUGUGACAGCGUCUAGAUAAAUGAAUCAAACGGUUCGACCACUUUUAUAAACCACCACGAGAACCCAAAUGCUAAAAUAUCAGUAUCGAUCGAAGAAACCAAAUGAACCAGGUACAUCUCGAGCUUAGAGUCACGAUGUGAAAGUUGGCCGAACGAAACUUUUAGUUCAUUUUGACUUUUUUUGUCUCCAAAGUUAACGUCGUGACGUCUAGAGACCUCAUUCGUUCUUAUCGACUGACAACAAAGAAUAAAAAGAAGUAUUAAA
rnacentral:rRNA from 1 species